AUGGCGGUAGGAGAAGAAGAAGAAGUAUGUUCAUAUUUACCGGAGGAAUUACUGGAUCGCAUCUUCAAAUCUCUCAACGGCCACCGCCGUACUUUCAAGUCACUCUCAGUCGCCUCAAAACAGUUUCUGGCCAUCACAAACCGUCUCCGAUUAACCGUUAAAAUCACCGAUCAAACCAUCCCCUAUCUUCAUCGCCUAUUCCACCGCUUCCCUAACCUCAGAUCCCUCAAACUCACUAUCUAA